GUGGGGAAUUUUGGACAAUGGGCGAAAGCCUGAUCCAGCCAUGCCGCGUGCAGGAUGAAGGCCUUCGGGUUGUAAACUGCUUUUGUACGGAACGAAAAGACUCCUUCUAAUAAAGGGGGUCCAUGACGGUACCGUAAGAAUAAGCACCGGCUAACUACGUGCCAGCAGCCGCGGUAAUACGUAGGGUGCAAGCGUUAAUCGGAAUUACUGGGCGUAAAGCGUGCGCAGGCGGUAAUAUAAGACAGAUGUGAAAUCCCCGGGCUCAACCUGGGAACUGCAUUUGUGACUGUAUAGCUAGAGUACGGUAGAGGGGGAUGGAAUUCCGCGUGUAGCAGUGAAAUGCGUAGAUAUGCGGAGGAACACCGAUGGCGAAGGCAAUCCCCUGGACCUGUACUGACGCUCAUGCACGAAAGCGUGGGGAGCAAACAGGAUUAGAAACCCCUGUAGUCC
rnacentral:rRNA from 1 species